rnacentral:rRNA from 1 species
GCCAGCAGCCAUAUCAUGCUGUAACACACAAUGUAUAUCCACUGAAGCUCAGCAGGUGUGAGCCUGGUCAGUACCUGGAUAGGAGACCUCCUGGGAAAAACUAUGGUUGCUGCUGAAA